UCGAAAUCCGCAAGGCAGACCCGAGAACAUGUUGAAAUGAAUUCGUGGACUCGACGUCGGAUUGUCUCUAGAGGGGCACGUCCAACAUCGUGGCCUCGUGACCCCAAACGGCCCUCUGGUCGCUUGGGGGAACCACCAACCAACCUCUCGGCGCGGCAAGCGCCAAGGAAAACAAAACGGAUGGCCCCUCUCAUGCGGGUGGUACCCAAUAUGUGGAGGAGCAUCUAUCGAAAUAGUCCAUAUAACGACUCUCGGCAACGGAUAUCUCGGCUCUCGCAUCGAUGAAGAACGUAGCGAAAUGCGAUACUUGGUGUGAAUUGCAGAAUCCCGUGAACCAUCGAGUCUUUGAACGCAAGUUGCGCCCGAAGCCAUCAGGCUGAGGGCACGUCUGCCUGGGCGUCACGCAUCUCGUCGCCCCCCCAACACCACCACCACCAUCUUCUUCCCCACGUUUCGUCGGGGAACGAUGCAUGAUGAGGGGCGUGGGGGGGUGGAAAUUGGCCUCCCGUUACCAGGGUGUGGCGGCCGGCCCAAAUGGAGGAAGCCGUGUCGACGGGUGUUCGCGCGAUACGUGGUGGUUGGAUUGCUCAACUUGAAAACUAUCGUGCGGGACCGUCGGCCCACCGGCACGACCCGACGGCAUCGAGAAUGCCUACGACCGUA
rnacentral:rRNA from 1 species